rnacentral:lncRNA from 1 species
CACAUGGACCCGCUGGUCAAGCGGGCUCGGCAAGGCCAGGAUGAAGAGAAGCUACGAACUUAGCAUUCCCAGAGCCCCCCGAGUGGAUAUCCGCGUGGAAAGGAUGUUGGCAGCCCCGGUGACCUCGGAGUCACGGCUGGAUCCACCCUCUUGUCUGAUUUUCUUAACUCGACUACGGUAAGAAGAUGCCCUCCAUCAGCAGGCCGUGUCUGCUGGCGCCUCUCUGGAGACUUCCUGAACCCUGUGGAUUUACAGUAAGAUGCAGUUUCCUGGGGAGUAAUUCUGGUGGAUACAAAUUCCGGAGUAUUACACCUGGCUUGCCUGGAGAUGUUACAAGUAACUGGAUGGAUUGAUUCUUCAGCCUGGAUGCCCACUGAAAACAAGGACCGAAACUGAGAGGAUUGUAUCUCUACCCUUGACUCAAUGAGAAUGUUUGUUGUCAUCUCUCGGGCUACCUGGAGCUCCCUCUAAAAUAGAGCUGAGUUCUGUCACCACAGACAUUGGCAGUGGCGCUUGCAUGCCCCUGGCAAGCAGUCUGUCCUGAGGUGAAGGAGUUGCCCUUGAGUUCUGGCUGGUAACCAGCACAGAUGAGAAGCAUUGACUUAAGAGAUGCCAAGUAACUCAGCAGAUGUCACACAGACGAUAAAUAGCAAAGAUGGAAGUCUUCAUGCCGGAGGUAAUCCUAUAAGACAGCUGAGUUCUGCAGAGCUGGUAGGAGACAGACUUGCUCAGGUGAUAGAUCCAGCCAUGAUACUGACCCUAAGAGAAUGAGACACUCUGCAGAAGACAGAAGAUUCCUGAAACUGGGAAAGGUGCCUAGAAAUCCUAAGAAGAGUGAAGAAGCCAUGGAUCCCUACCUGGGUGAUAUAAAACAAAAUAAAACAAGAAUGAAGAAAUCUGGAAACAAAGCUAAGAAGUAGUUCGUGAGACUAAGAGUUGCAACUGAUUUCUUAGACAUGACAAAGAAGAGAAGAUGACAGGCUACUUAAAUGGAAGGAACUUAAAUGAAUUGUCAAGUCGGGGCUGCAGAGAUGGCUUGGAAGUUACAAGUGCUUGCUGCUGUUGCAUAGGACCAACUUGUGGUAGCACAUUAUGGAUGGAGCCUAGGGUGAAGUAGAAUCCUACUUUCUCUGCUGUGUAAGGAAAAGCACGGCACUCAACGGUGAGAUGAUCAUUUACAAACAACACUGGAUACAUUGAAUGUGGGCCCUACGGUGAUAACUUGAUGAGAGUUCAGGGAAAUGAUGAGGGCCCCACCAGCGCUCACCACUGCACUUCAUAAUGCCUUGAACAUUUUGACUUUCUGAAUAGUCAGGGCUGGUCUUCCAUUUGAGUCUACCAAGCCAGAGGCUUCCCUGAGACACUUUGCAAGCCUCCCUGCUGUGAAAGAAGAGGACUAUGUUUGGGAGGCUUCAGACUACACUCAACAGUGAGUGAUGGGCAUACAGUGGCUGUGUGCUUUGUCCCAUUAUGUAAAGGAGACACAAUCUUCCAGUUAUCUUCCACAGUUUCACAGCUGUGACUUACUGAAGACCAAAUCUGGCCAUGCCACUCUAUGCCUGACAUCUUCAGGAUCAAGACCCCACUCUAGAGUAAUUUUGUCCACAGUCAUGCCUUUCCCCCACUUCUCUCUCCGCACUGCCACAACUGUCAACUUGAUACAACCUAAAAUUAUCAGUAAAGAAGAAACCUCAAUUAAGAAAACUUGCCCUACCAGAUUGGCCUGUGGAGCAAUUUCUUGGUUGAAGACUAAUGUAGGAGGACCCAUCCCACAAUGAUUCUGCCGUCCAUGGGCCAGUGGUCCUGAUUCCUGUUACAAAGCCAACUGAGCAAGCUACAAGAAGCAAGUCUUUGAAAGGAUUCUGCUUCAGUUCCUGCUUUCACGAACAUUCCAUGCUUGAUUUCCUGCCCAGACUUCCCUCAGUGAUGGAUCUUUAUCUAGAAGUCUAGUCUGAAAUAAGCUUUUGCUCAGUGUUAUAUUACAGCAGUGGAAACUCUAAGAUUCCACAUAUGUAUUGGUCAGGAUCUGGCAGAGCCUCUUAGGAGACAGUUGUAUCAGGCUCCUGACAGCAAGCAUCGGACCGAGCAUGGGGACCCCAUGGAGGAGUUAGAUGAAAGGCUGAAGGAGCUGAAGGGGCCUUAUCUGGCAUCAAUGGGAGGAGAGGCCCUUGGUCCUGAGAAGGCCCCUUGGUCCUGUGAAGGCUUGAUGCUCCAAGGGUAAGGGAGGAUGGGAUAGGGGGUUUGCAGAGGGGAAACUGGGAAAGGGGAUAACAUUUGAACUGUAAAAAAAAUCCAAUUAAAAAAAUAAAUGGUAUUUAUCAGGCUCUGGCAGAGCCUCUCAGGAGAUAGCUAUAUCAGGCUCCUGUCAGCAAGUACUUGCUGGCAUCCACAAUAGUGUCAGGGUUUGGUAGCUGUAUAUGGAUGGAUCCCCAGGUGGGACAGUCAAUGGAUGACUUUUCCUUCAGUUUCUGCUCCAAACUUUGACUCUGUAUGUCCUCUCAUGGAUAUUUUGAUUCUUCUUCUAUGAAGGACUGACGUAUCCACACUGUGGUCUUCCUUCUUCUUGAGCUUCAGGUGGUCUGUGAACUGUAUCUUGGGUAUUCCGAGCUUCUGGGCUAAUAUCCACUUAUCAGUGAGUGCAUGCCAUGUGUGUUCUUUUGUGAUUGGGUUACCUCAGUCGGGAUGAUUGGACUGAACAAGGGUCCCCCAAUGGAGGAACUAGAGAAAGGACCCAAGGAGCUGAAGGGGUUUGCAUCCCUAUAUUAGGAAAAACAAUAUGAACUAACCAGUACCCACAGAGCUCUCAGGGACUAAACCACCAACCAAAGAGUACACAAGGAGGGACUCAAGGCUUCAGCUGCAUAUGUAGCAAAGGAUGACCUUGUGGGACAUCAAUGAGAGGAGAGGCUCUUGGCCUUGUGAAGGUUUGAUGCCCCAGUGUAGGGGAAUGCCAGGACAGGGAAGCAGGAGUGGGUGGGUUAAUGAGCAAGGGGAGGAGGAAUGGGAUAGGGAGGGUUUAGGAGGGGAAAUGAGGAAAGGGGAUAAAAUUUGAAAUGUAAAUAAACAAAAUAUCUAAUAAAAAUGAAAAAAUAAAUUGUAUAUAAUAAGAAUAAAAAAACCUACCUUAGCUGCCUUUGGUGUUGCUUCUGUUUACGUACACAACCCUAAGAUUCAUUGUAUUGGGACCUCCAUGCCAAUGUGUUCUACAUUUAAGAAUUUAAACAUCUCAGAAUAAAGAAAAAUUUACAUGUCU